rnacentral:misc_RNA from 1 species
GCGGGUUUGGGAGAGGCAGGUGGGGGAGGAGCAGGGUAUAGGGGUGUAGGAGGUAGAGGUGCCGGGAUUGAAGGAGGGGGAGGAAGGGGAGGGAGAGCAGAGGAGCCAGGAGAGCUCGCUGCCGGUGUCGAGGACCAUUGUGACGUUUUGGGGAGGCGUACCGACGGCGAGAGUGACGGUGAGGCUGACGUUGUGGCUGAAGCGGAUCUUGCUGGAUGGGUGAGGGAUGGUGGCGGCAGGGGUUUUGAGG